rnacentral:lncRNA from 1 species
AAACGUCAAAUGCAUCAAACAAAAAUUUUUUAUUAAACAAAAAAAUAAAAAUACAUAGGUAAAAGAAAAAAAAGCUUAAUUAUUAUUAUCAUCAUUAUUAUUUGUAUGGCCAGCCAGCCGAUCUUCAACCAGCAGCAGCAGUGCCCUCUCUUCCGCAGCAUCCUUACUCUGACAGCGGCCAACUCCCACUGUAGGUCAAGAAUUUCCUUCUGCAGUUCCCGCAUGGCGUCUCGUAAAAUAGCGACAUCCCACAUUAGAUUAGCCAUAUCUAGAAAACAUGUAAGUUGACAAAACACACGUAAAAUAAGAGUAAAGAAAAGAAAGAAUUUGAAUGUAAUACAACAUAUAUUUACACAAAAAUCAAGAAAAAACUUACUAGAGACAAGAAAAUGCUAUCAAGUCCUUGAAGAGAAAGUAGUUGAAGGUGUAACAAGAGCAAGAAAUAAAUAGAGUGUAGUAGAAUAAACGAUUGAGUAAGGAUGUACUAUUUAUAGAGGAUUGAACUUGAAUGUGUUAGGCAAAAAGUUGCAACUGUUCACCUCCAUUUAUUAAUGACAUUUCUUGCUUACUAUGAAAAGUUAUGACUUAAUUAAAUUAAGCAAUAUUGUGGUACGUCAUGACUUUUCAGCUUAUUAUUAUUAAUAAUUAGUUCUUUUCAGGAACCGUUUUAUAUUGAGUUGUGACAACGGAUUAUAUAUCUGUUGCAUCAGAUAACUCACCUGUGAUAACAAAUAUAUCAUGAUAAUAUAUCUGUUUCAACAUAUAAUCUAUAUAUUAAGUUGAAAGCUUAUUAUUAUUAAUUAGUUCUUAAAUUUAAAUUAACUUUUUUUCUCAAUUUAAAAAUCGAAGACACCUAGUUUUCAAUAACCGUUUCUUUAAUGAAAUAAUAAUCAUUUUUUUUAUUGAGUUAUGGCAACAGAUUGUAUAUCUGUUGCAUCAGAUAACCCAUCUGUUGCAACAAAUCGACUAUCUGUUUUAGGAGCUUUUUUUAUUUCUUCUAAAAAUUGAUUCAUCAAUCGCAACAAAUGAGGAAUUUGAUGCAUCAACAACGUUGUUUGUUUGUUGAAUGUGUUUAGACAAAAAGUCAGAGUCAUGACUAUUUACCUUUUUCUUAACAAUCAUCAUAUAACUUAAUUAAUCCAAUGUUGUAAUUUUUUUUUAAAUUAAAUAAUCUUUCUUUCACGAUUAUAAAUUGUGUAUAUCAUUUAGUUCCUUAUUAUUUAUUAACGAACCAUUUUAAGGAGAAUCAUGACUUUUCACCACCCUCUGUUGCCACAAGUUCUCAAUCCCUACCUCCAACCGUCGACAUGUUGAGAAUAGGGAAUAAAUAGAAUGAUAAUUAAAUAUUAAAUAAGAAUUAAAAAUUCAAAGUCGAUCAAACCAAACAAAACACAUACAUAGAUUUUUGAAUCCCUUAUAGGCAGAUCCGAUAUAAAAAAGGAAAAUACAUACACUAAAAGAAAGAAAAAACAUAACCUAAUUAUUAUUACUAUUAUUAUUAUUAUUAUUAUUAUUACUAUUAUUACUGUCAACUGGACAAUUUUCAUCCGACAACAGCAGGGCCUUCCCCAGUCUUGCUCUGAAGUUGGCCAAAUCCCUCUGGAGUUCCCGGAAGGAAUUGAUAUGAAUCUUCUUGUAUGAAUCUGGAUCAACCAUAUUUGUAUUGUAAGUGUAGUAGAAUGAACGAGUGAAAGUAAGGAAGGGAGUAAGGAAAGGAUGCCAGAGGGACCUAUUUAUAAAUGAUUGAAUUGGAAGGGGUGACUUAGUCAAACAAAAGCCACGAUUAUUCAUAUCCCUUAAUUAAAUAAAACUAGUGACUUUUCAAAUAUGUAAAGUAAAAAAAAUGAAUCUAAAGACAAUAUUUUAUCUUUUUAUUAUAUUUCGAAAAGAAAAGAAAAUUGCUUUAAAAUAAAUCUAACAGAUAGGUAAUCCAUUGUAAAAUAUAUUCCAUCUGUCAGAUAACUUACAACAUAUUGACAAUUUGCUGCAACAGAUGGAUAUAUCAGUUUGCUUUUCCAAUAGAUGUGGUGUCUGUUGCAACUUGCUAGUUAUCUGUUUAUUCAAUCUAAGCCAUAGAUGGCUAGGAAGAAUAAGGUGCAUGCAGAUGGAUCCACUAUCAUAUGUGUGUGAUUUAAUUAGUAUUACUGAUAAGGUCACCGGGAUAACACACACAAAGUACAAUGUUUUUGUGAAUGCAGUUUUAACCGAUUAGGCACUGAUCAUUCAAACAAGAUCCUGUAUUGUACAGUUAAGUUUGAUGGGUUCGAAUUGAUAAGGCUAAGGGCCUCAUGAAGAUGGUACAGAUACCCUGUUAUGAAUUACUGACGGUUGUUNNNNNNNNNNNNNNNNNNNNNNNNNNNNNNNNNNNNNNNNNNNNNNNNNACCAAUAGCGCUUGGACUUAACUUUAAGUGUGCAUUGGACUCUGAGAACACCUUCGAAGCCUCGCACUACAUCAAACAAGAACGGAAAACCAAUAGAAAUUCCCCUGGCCCAAAUUUAUAUGGAAGGGUUGAUCGAGAAGAUAAUUAUACGCUAGAAUGAGCCGAAGGAGAAUGCCUGCGAGGGAAAAGGGAGUUGAUGAAAGACUAUAUCAUCUGAGAGCUAAUUGAAGAAGAGACAUAGGGUAGAAAGUAACUUCUAGCAAAUCUGGCUGAUGGAAUUAUCUUAAAACAUGAGAAAUCUAAAUCAAGUGCAAAUAUGAAAGUGUAUCCGGUAAUGUAAAUUCGUUUGUUGUCUCUCUGAAAGAAAAAUAAUGCAGAUGGACACUUUGCUAGGGAGCUACGACUAAGUAGCAUGGUUGGGAUUAUCACCUAGAUAGAAAAUAACAGAAGACUAAAAAAGCAGCCUUAAGGGCAUCGAGGGUUGAAAUGAUGUACAAUAAGUCUAGAAAACUUGCGCCAACAACAACUACAGUUAAAGUAAGGAAUCUAAGCUAAGGCGGCAAUUUUUAAAUUUUGAAUUGCAUCUCAUGCCUUCUUGUUUGUGGUUCCGAUUAGGUCACUGCUGUUGACCUGAUCGGAACCACAAACGUGAUUGAAAGCCAAAUUGAGUAUCAUUACUUCCUUACCAAUAUGGAUUAAUUGAUUGUGUUUUAUAGCCUUAGCAUGCUUUCAACAUUUCUUGGAGAAGAUCAGAGGCUUGCUCUAGUUUGUGAAUUUCGAUAAUUUUCAAGCUUGCCUCCAGCUUACUGAUUUUGUAUUCAAACUGGUCGUUUCCCUCUUCGAAGUUGGCAUAGAGUUCCUGAUCUCUUGUGAAAUCGAUCAGGAACACUACCUUCAAAGUUGUGGAAUUGAAGAAGGCCAUCAUAAAACUUUCUUCAAAAGCCUUAAAGGAUACAUGGAGGGUCACUGUGUUUGUUUUAGGUCAAAAUGUGUUGAUGCACACUGAAGAUGUGGUCCCAACAGUUGAAUAACACACGUUUAUUGAGCGUUGCUCAAUGCAGCUUGCUCAACCAAUUUGAUAAAUUAAUAAGCAAGGAUUUACGUAGCGUGUGAUCAAAACCGACUCUACCAAGCCUAUCAAACGUUACGUAACUCCAGGCUCAUUAUCCUAUCAAAAAAAUUUGACUGAGUUAGUGCACAAAUCAAAUAAGCUCAAUCUCUCAGCAAACGCUCUUCUCCAAUAUAGAUAACAAGAUAUCUGCUAUGCAAAAAUUUACAUCGUCUCCAGAAAUGCUUGCCAGGGCGCAAGUCUUCAGAUGGUAUCAUCAGUAAUCUCUCAAUAUCAAGUGAUAUUGAGAGAUUUCUAGUCAUGUCUUCUCAAGACUUUUGCUACGGCAAGAAUUUCUGCUGAUAACAAGAUAUCCGCCAUGCAAAAGUCUACAUCGUCAGCAAAAAUUCUUGACAGAGUGAAAGUCUUCAGAAGGCAUUAUUAAUAAUCUCUCAAGACUUCCUUAUUUUCAAAUGUCUUCUGAAGACUUUCGUACAAGACUUCCUUAAUAUUGAGAGAUUAUUAAUAAUACCUUCUGAAGACUUUCGCUCUGUCAAGAAUUUCUGCUGACGAUGUAGACUUUUGCAUGGCAGAUAUCUUGUCAUCAAUAGAAAUUCUUGCCGUAGCAAAAGUCUUGGGAAUGCAUGACUAGAAAUCUUUCAAUAUCACUUAAUAUUGAGAGAUUACUGAUGAUGUCAUCUGAAGACUUGCACCCUGACAAGCAUUUCUGGCGAUGGUGUAGUCUUUUGUAUAGCAGAUAUCUUGUCAUCUUUAUUGGAGAAGAGCGAUCAACAAAAAAUCUGAGAUAUUAAGCUCGUUUGAUUUGUGCACUAACUCAAGCCAAUUUUUUUGAUAGGUUAAUGAGCCUGGAGUUACAUAAUGUUUGAUAGGCUUGGUAUAGUCGGUUUUGAUCAUAUGCUACGUAACUCCUUGCUUAUUAAUUUAUCAAAUUGGUUGAGCAAGCUGCAUUGAGCAACGCUCGAUAAAAGUGUGUUGUUCAACUGAUGGGACCAUAUCUUCAGUGUGCAUCAAUACAUUUUGACCUCAAACAAAUACAACGACCCUCCAUGUAUCCUUUAAGGCUUCUGAAGAAAGUGUUCUGAAGGCCUUCUAAAAUGCCACAACUUUGAAGGUGGUGUUCCUAAUUGAGCUCACAAAAGAUCAGGAACUCUAGACCAACUUCGAAGACGACAACAACAAGCUUGAAUAUAGAAUCAAAAAGCUAGAGGCAAGCUUGAAAAUUAUCAAAAUUCACAAACUAGAACAAGCCUCUAAUCUUCUCCAAGAAAUGUUGAAAGCAUGUUAAAGAUAUAAAACAUAAUCAAUUAUAACCAUAUUGCUAUGGAAGUGAUGAUAGUCAAUUUGCCUUUCAAUCACGUUUGUGGUUCCGAUCAGGUCAACAAAAGUGGACCUAAUCGGAACCACAAACAAGAAGGCAUGGGAUGCAAUUUAAAAUUCAAAAAUUGUCGCCUUUGCUUAGAUUCCUUACUGUAAUUGCAGUUGUUGUUGGUGCAAGUUUUCUAGACUUACAGUACAUCAUUUCAACCCUCGAUUCCCUUAAGGCAACUUUCUUGGUCUUCUGCUAUUUUCUAUCUAGGUGAUAAUCCCGACCACACUACCUAGCAAAGUGACCAUCUGCACUAUUUUUCUCUUAGAGAAACAACAUACAGAUUUUUCAUUACCGAAUACACUUUCAUAUUUGCACUUGAUACAAAUUUCUCAUGUUUUAAGAUAAUUUCAUCGGCCAGAUUCGCUAGAAGUUACUUUCUACCUUAUGUCUCUUCUUCAAUUAGCUCUCAGAUGAUAUAGUCUUUCAUAAACCAUCCAUUUUCCCUCGAAGGCAUUCUCCUACCGCACCUACUGGCGUAUAAGCAUCACCCCGAGCAACCCAACCAUAUAAAUUUGGGCUAGGGCAAUAACUAUAUUAUUUUUUCGUUCUUGUUAGAUGUAGUGCUAGGUUUCAAAGGCCUUCCCCGAGUCCAAUGCACCCUAAAAGUUAGUUCAAUCGCUAUUGAAUCUCUUUACUAUGACACCAAAACUAGAUCCCUUCACAAUGCUUGACAAAUAAACAUGAUCAACAACCGAUAUUAAAUCUUAACAGGGUAUCAGAACAAUAUUCAUGGUCCCUCAGCCUUAUCAGUUCGGACCUACCAAACUUAAUUAUAAAAUUGCAGAUAUCUUGUUUGAAUGAUUUAUGACUAAUCGUUAAAAACAAUAUUCACAAAAUCAGUGUACUCUAUGUGCGUUUCCACGAUAACAUUAUCAGUAAUACAUACCUCCUAUAUAUGAAGUGGUUCCAUAUGCAUGCAGUUUAUUAAUCCGAACCUAUUUUUACUGUAGCCUCUUAUGAUGGUCGGGCAAAAGUUGAUCAACUUUUAUUUUCUUAUAUCUACAAAGAAGAGGAAAAAAAAUUAAUGUCAUAGAAAGAACAUUAUCUAUCUGUUGCAACAGAUAUAGAGUCUGUUGCAUCUGAUGAGGAGUCUGUUGCAUCUGAUGUGGAGUCUGAUACAACAAAUGUGGAGUCUAUUGCAACAGAUGUAGAGUCUAUUGCAACAGAUGUAAAGUCUAUUGCAACAGAUGUGUAGUCUGUUGGAAUACAUCAAACCAGUCUUGCUGAUGGUUUGAUUUGUUCCAAUAGUUGCUCCGUCUGUUCCAACGUCAACAACAAUAUAAACUAUAAAGAAACAACAAAUAAAAAACAUCAACAACAAAGAAAACAACAACAUUUGUUCCAACAACAUCAUCAACAACAAAAAAGCUACAUCCUUUGUUCCAACACCACACCACAAGUUCCAACAACGCCAACCCACCAACAACAUCAAUAACAACAUCAACAAUAAACAAACAAACAAAAUACAUACAAAAAAAUGAUACUGCCAACAAGGCUUUUAAACUUCUCCUAGCAGAUGACUUUUUUCGCAUAUUGUAAUAAAAAUUCUCGGUUCAUUUAUUCAACAAUUAAAAGUUCCUUCAAGUGAUUUAAAUAAAUAUGAUAUGGAUAAAUGGUAAUUAAAUAUAAAAAUAGAUGUAAAUAACUUGCAAAGAAGAAGACGAAAAUAAAAAAGCAAUAGUGAACCAUACCUUAAUGUCAAAAGGGGAUCAAAAUAACAAUUUCAGUAGAGAAAUCUAAGAUAUGGAUCGGUUUAGAUUCGAAAGAAUCUUUAUGAGAAAGAGGAGAGAAAAAAGGCUGUAAUAACCCUAAAGAGGAGAGAAAGAAAAAGAUGAAAGACGAAUAAAAUAAAUUUAGGGCUGAAGGAGAGAUGAAAUAAUUCUAAUUUCUAGAUGUACUACCCUUAAUAUUAAAUUACUAAACAAAGUGUAUUUAUUCAAAUUUAUAUUUUCAAAGCAUAAUUAAUAAGGCUAAUUUGGUAAAAUAAAUCCCUAAUUAAUUUUUUUUAUAAUGGGUGUGCCAAGUCAAUAGGGGUCAACUAAUAUGAAACGGAGGAAGUAUUAGGGGCUUCAAUAUUCAUUAAUUAAUAUUUAUUAAUAAUUUGAGGGGCACGAGGAAGAAAACGGAUGACAUUGAAAAGACAGGACAAGACUACUCAAUGAGAUUUUUGAGUUAUUCAAGAAAUAUUUUUUACCACCUUUAGUAGUACUACUUUAUCUACUUGGAUAGAAGCUUUCUUUAAAAUUAAAAGAAAAAAAAAUUUCAAACAGAUAUGUCGUCUGUUGGAACAGAUAUAAAUAUAUGUUUGAAAAAUUCCAACAGCUCAGUCAUCUAUGACAACAGACGCAAAUGUUCAUUUAAUAACUAAAUCAGAUAUGUCAUCUGUUACAACAGAUAUCAAUAUUUGUUGUUUGAAAAUUCCAACAACUCAGUCAUUUGUCACAACAGAUGCAAAUUUCUAUUUGAUAAUUAAAUCAAAUAUGUCAUCUGUUGCAACAUAUAUGAUUAUUUAUUUGAAAAUAUCCAACUCAGUCGUUUGUUACAAUAGAUUUCAUUGCAAUUAAUUUAGGUGGAACUAGGGAUGAAUGAAUGAGCUCACAGGGUCAACAACAACUUCAAAUGAGUCGUUACAUUUGCAUGGUGUUCGUAUUGCGUUCAUCCCUACCCGAGUCGUCGAUUGAUCACUCUAAGUUGAAAUAAGUUCUCAUUAACUUAAUGUUAAGAUUAAUAGUACCUAAAUUGAUUUAGGUGGAACUAGGAAUGAAUGAAUGAGCUCACAGGGUCAACAACAACUUCAAUUUAGUCGUUGCAUUUGCAUGGUGUUGUUAUUAAGUUCAUCCCGACCCGAGUAGUUGAUCGAUCACUCUAAGUUGAAAUGAGUUCUCAUUAACUUAAUGUUAAGAUUAAUAGUACCUAAAUUGAUUUAGGUGGAACUAGGUGUCGCGCCCUAUUUCGAACCGAUUGAAAACGCACACAACGUAUGGUGGCUACGUGUUUAAUGUGACUCUUGGGUUUUGAAAAUUCAUUUUUUAGAGUCACCACCUAACUUUUUAGGAAAAUUAGAAAAAAUCAUUUUUUAUGUAGAAAACUCUGUUUUGGUCUAUCGAAAAUAUUUUGAGAUUCUGAAUAAGGGUUUUGGUUACUCGAGGGGAAGGUGUUAAGCAUCCCUCAGAGCCUAUCCGAAGAUAGUCCUUAUGCUUAGUUUAGGAAAAUAUUGCUUUUAUUUAUUUGCGAAAAUAGUGUAAAGAAAACUUUCAUCAUUAUUUUCUAUUUAUUAUUUUAUAUAAAAGAAAGAAAACUUAAGGUAUGACAAACGUGAUGCUACCAUGUACAAGGAAGUAAUGCAAUCAUCGCAUAUAUAUAUGUGUGUUACAUGAAUAUCUUAUAAUAUGAAAAUAGUUUUUUUUUUUUUUUAUGAUUUGGAUAAAAUAAAGGGAAAACUUCAUUGUCUUUACAUGUAUAAAAUUGAAUAGGUAAAUAAAAUUUAUAAAAAUAUUUUUUUGGCAUGGAAUAAUUUAAGACAAAAUGCGAAUAUAGAUAUAUUUGAAAAUGCGAAAAGAUGUAAAGUUUUACUUAAUUUUAAAAAAAAAAGAUUUAGAUUAGAAGUAAGCGAAAAGAAAAAUGUGAUGAUAUAAUAUAUAAGCAUAGUAAAAUUUUGAUAAUGACAAUUAUAACAAUAAUGGAUAACAGUAGUAUUAAUAAAGUUAAUAAUAAUAAUAAUAAUCAUAAUAAUAAUAGUAAUAAUAUUAAUAAUUGAAACAGUGAUAAAUACUAUUGUGUAAAUAAUAAUGGUAAUAGUAGAUAUGAUGUAAGAUAGUUGUUAUGAAAGUAAUGCGAUGUACUUUGUACGUGGUAGCGAAAGAAUGUAUAAUACCUCGUAUUUUCUAAUCUUUCGAGAAUCUAAAAACCCAAACGAACAUUAAAAAUAUAAAAUAUAGCUUGACCAUUAGAGUUAUGUAAAAAAAAAAGGUUAAAGUUGAUGAAUAAACUCUUUUAGAAAAAUCUGAAAUUUUGAUAACUUUCUCAAUUACGUUAAAAUUGAAAAUCUAUUUAUUUGUCUUUUGUUAUAGUUUGAAGAAAAAUGUGAAGAUUACUAUGCUAAUCUCAUUUAAUAUAUCGGUAAAGAGUUUUUCCAAAGAAUUAGCCGAUUAUAGAAUAUUUUCCUUAGCGAUAGCCACAUGUUAUUUGCGAAAGUCGAAAUGUUAAAACUACUUUUGAGGGAUUGACAACAACAACAACAAACCCAGUGUAUUCCCACUUAGUGGGGUCUGGGAUUUUGAGGGAUUGACAAGAUGGCAUAAAUUUUAAUAACUAAGUAAAGUUGUCUAAAAAGAUUCAAUAACAAGAGUUAGUAUUAUUCUAAAACUCAACAUGACAAAUAUAAAUUAACUUCAAAGAAGAUAAGAGAUACUAGAUUCCAUUUAGGAGUUGGGCUUCUAAUUUGCUCGACUCCGAAGUUCUACUCCUAGUAGCGAUUGACCCAAUGUUGGGUUAAAACGAGUUCCGCUGCGGAACUCCAACUCCCGAGUUUACAUGUUAAAAAAAGAAAGAUAAAGAUUAAUAACUUAUGAAAUAAUCAGGAAAUAUACAUGAAUUGGUAAUGGAUAUUAGCAAAAUACAUCAAACAUCGUUUAUAGUUCCAACAAAGAAAACAAACUUAUUAACUUAAACCAGGAAGCACCUUUCCAUUUAACUGGACUUAAACAUACUCCAAAUAUAAUGCUAGGAGCCAAAUUGAGAUGAUCUGUUUCAAUUUCAAUCAACUUUGUACUUAAGAGAAUAAAGGCCUACGCAUCUCGUGGCUCCCCUUGAAGAGCCAAAGCUAGAUUGCUAACGUAACAAUAUUAUAAAAACCUUCUAAAUUAUAAUAUCAAUGUUGGUUCCUGUGUUGUGAACCCAAACUUAUACUAUUAUCCAACAUUAUCUUGUACCUAUAAUAUUUAAAUACUUUAGUACACACAAGUUACGUAACAACUCUAUUAACGUUUCAACACUAAAAGGAUUGCAAAAAAUCCAAUCUCGAUCCCGAUACUAGAAUACAAACAAGAGCCUCUCAGAACAAAAACAUAAAAUCCAAAUAUAAUUCGAGAAGCAAGCCAAAACUGAACGCAUUAUUCUUGCAUGAAAAUAACUUGAACAUAUCAUUCUUGCGCGUAAGGCAUAUUCCAGAUUUCAUUCGUAUCUUAUUUCGACAACUAAUUCGCCCACUAUUACACCUGCCUAUAGACCUAUGGAUUUAAACAUGAAAUUCAAGAAAAGAGAAAAAAAAAACUUUGGGGAUCAAAUCUAGAGAUUGCUGCAAAGGAAAAUUUCUAUCAUGGGUUUUAACAACCUAACUUAUUUGUGUUAAGACUUCAAACUACAUUUCCCAUUACUUUUACUUUAAACAACUUCAGCAAAGUAAAGGACCUUAGCAAAAUAAGAACGGUAGCAGACAUAGAUUUAUUUCUGGGGGACUAUUAUUAAAUGCCUGUUCUCCCAGGGAAUGGGACUUCAUUCGACAUCAAAAUAUGAUUUGUGAUCCGAUUCUCGUAACGUAAAUGAAAAAAAAAAAAACUGAAACUAGGAUGAAGUAUUUGCGAAACCAAAAGCGUGGAUUCGCUAUUACCACAUAAAAAAGGUAAUAAAAGGGGUGUAUGAAACCCGAAUACUCUUUUAGUAUUUUAAAUUAAGUAAACUAGUACCUAAACUAGUAUUUUCAGGAGCAAAACAUGUUUCAAGAGAGGGGCGAAACUGGUUUAAAUCAAGCUAUCUAUUCAGCACACACUCAAGGAGAGUUGCAAAUAUUUAUAUCCGAUCUUUAGAUAAAAGAAAACCACAUGAAAUUUAUUUCUACUUAGGAGUGAGCACAAACCAAACUAAUAGAUGAAACUCUGCAGGGAGAUACGAAUCAGUAAGAAAAUGGUUUUUCUCUCAUUAUUAGGAGAAUAAAAAUAAUCAACUCCGGCAACCAUAGACAAGACCCGGACCUAAAUACGCACCAAAUAACAUCAAAGGUGACCUUGUUGUUCAGUUUUGGCUACAGGGCACGUACCAAGGUUGACAUAUACUAAUGGCUCAAGUAAAUGCUAACUAUAAACAAAGCUUAACCAACCAAAAAUAAUGACCUUAAAUUUUAAUAUUCCAUCUUUAUCAUAAGGAGUUAACUAUUUUUCAUCAAGCAAUCCGAAGCAAACUUCACUAUGAUGCCCGAUAAACGACCUCAAACCAUGUUCACGUAGACCAGGUAGUCAAGAAAUUUAAUCAAGAUCAUGUGUCAGACUUGAUUUUUACAAAAAAAAAAAAAAAAAAAAAAAAAGGACUACAAACCCCAACCAAAAUUGUAACUGAGUCGAGCCUUAUGUUUUCAUACCCGUAGACCGGUACGUUUGCAUUUUCACCCCCACAGAGAUGCCUCACAAAAUCAAAACUAGUUUUAUCCGCAAGCCGACAGAAAACAACUAAACUUCCAAAAUCACAUAUUUUAAAAUAACAGAUUCCGACUAAAAAGAUUGUGCUCAUGAGUUUGAUUUACAGGUGGAAUAAGUAGCAAUAUCAACACACAUAUACAUACUUAGCCGGAUAUGAAAAUAAGAAGAUAUGAUGCUUUUCACACCAAUUUGUUUUCCACAACAUCAAAUCCAAUUUUGGAUGAAACCAAACCCAAAACCAAUUCACAAAUAAUCGGACCACAACACCAUCAUAACUAAUUAAAGUUAAAGACCACCUAUUCACUAACAUCAAUUUUCUAGAAGCAACAAAAACAAAAUAAUCUUCGUCGACGCUCACAUACGAACCCAAUUUUCAAAAUCGGUUAGCAACUUUAGACUUUGACUGAAAUUUACCUCUAAAUCCAUUUUAGAAUCAAGACCAUAUUUAGCCUCUAAGGUAACAAAAAAUGUCCACAACAAAUUUCAAAAUGGAUUGUCGUUAUAAGUUCAUAGAACAAACGAUAAGAAAUAUAAAAAAUGAAGAAACAAAAUCAAAAGGGGGAAAUUCACUCCUUUUUGGGGGCAGAAAAUGGGAGCUUUUUGUCAAAAUGUUUUCUGGCGAUGGAUUCAACUUUUGGGGAUUUUGAACGCCUGCGAUCUAGUUCACUCGAUCUUACACUAUUUUUUUUUUUUCACUCUUUCCUUAAUUUUCUUCCUUCUUUUUGCCUUCUCCUUACUCUUUUCUUUUUUUCCUCCAAUUUUCUUCUGCUCUCCUAAAGGAAUGACCAUAACCCCCUUUAUAAGCACACUCUGGAGUGUGAGAGCUUCUCAAGGAGGCUCCAAAUUGAAUUCAAAAUUCAAAUUCAAAUUGUUGAUGGAAUAAUCCACAAGUUUUGAAAGAAAAUAGAGUAAAAAUAGGGAUUUACCCCUUUUUCAGGAUGAUUUGAAAGGCAUGAGGGAUGAACAUGAACUUGUUAUCUUCUUAUCCAAGUUAACAGUGGAGAGGGUGAGACUUUGGGCCCUCAAGCCAUAGAAAUAGGAGAAGAAGGGAUUCACGCUGACAAGAUUUAAUGGAUUUGAGGUGAGAAAUAUGACUUCGCAGGGAUAAGAUCUGGGUUCUUUGACUUGGAGGACUUCGAUUGAUUGUCGUCACUGUUUGGCGGAUUUUUGGCGUGGGAAGAUGGGAUAAGCAGGCAGUGGUUGAGUUUUGUCGGGGUAGGAGGUGGGGUGGUGGAGAUGAAAUAAGGAAGAGAGGAGGAAGAAGAUCUCACUUAUUAAGGAAAGGGAUAAGAUGUAAUACUGCUUUUCUUUUGGUAAGAGGCACGUGCUUGGUCUGUUUUUUCUUUUAAAAAAAGAAAAGACGUUUUGUUGUACUGGUUGUUGAUUAGAAUAUGGUCCGUCCGAUCAUUUGAUUGGAUGGUUAAAAAUAAAUAUCUUAUAAUUAAUAUAAAACAAAAGUUAUAUAUAUGUAUAUAUAAAUAUCCAUAUGUAU